UGCGGGAUCGUCUAAUGGUAGGACAAUGGAUUCUGGAUCCAUUUAUCUUGGUUCGAAUCCAAGUCCCGCAGCCA
rnacentral:tRNA from 2 species